rnacentral:rRNA from 1 species
GACGAACGCUGGCGGUAUGCUUAGCACAUGCAAGUCGAACGAGACAAGAUGGAAGUGCUUGCACGGAAACCUUAGAAAGUGGCGAACGGGUGAGUAACGCGUGGGUAACCUGCCCUAUGGAAAGGAAUAGCCUCGGGAAACUGGGAGUAAUGCCUUAUAAGAUAUAUUUGUCGCAUGGCAGAUGUAUUAAACGCUCCGGUGCCAUAGGAUGGACCCGCGUCCCAUUAGCUAGUUGGUGAGAUAACAGCCCACCAAGGCGACGAUGGGUAACCGGUCUGAGAGGGCGAACGGUCACUCUGGAACUGAGACACGGUCCAGACUCCUACGGGAGGCAGUAGUGGGGAAUAUUGCGCAAUGGGGGAAACCCUGACGCAGCAAUACCGCGUGAGUGAAGAAGGUUUUCGGAUCGUAAAGCUCUGUUAUUGGGGAAGAAAAAAAGACGGUACCCAAGAAGAAAGUCCCGGCUAACUACGUGCCAGCCGCCGCGGUAA